AAAGACGGAGUCACCAAAAUCAUCGGUUGGAUCGUGCCCAUCACCACGUUCCAGGAUGAAUAACAUCACAGAAACCAAUGAUGAUGAGGCUAAAUGGCCCGAUACGGCCGUUGUACAAUUUUUGAGUAUUUUAAAUGAAAGAGU